rnacentral:rRNA from 1 species
UACGGAGGGUGCAAGCGUUAAUCGGAAUUACUGGGCGUAAAGCGCACGUAGGCGGCUUGUUAAGCUAGAUGUGAAAGCCCCGGGCUCAACCUGGGAACUGCAUUUAGAACUGGCAAGCUAGAGUAUGGUAGAGGAUAGUGGAAUUUCAGGUGUAGCGGUGAAAUGCGUAGAGAUCUGAAGGAACAUCAGUGGCGAAGGCGACUGUCUGGACCAAUACUGACGCUGAGGUGCGAAAGCGUGGGGAGCAAACAGG